rnacentral:lncRNA from 1 species
ACUUCUCAGACCCGGGAGGAUAGAUUCCAGCGAGGUCCACCACGCAGCACCUCCACAGAAGUCCCUGUCAUCCAAGGCCUACACCUACAUCCUUUCCAACAAUGUCUGGGCUCUUCCAGAUUGGCGACUUCAUUGAACACUCUGCUUUGGUCCUCGAGGUGCGACUGCUCCCUUUAUUUCUUGCUUUCCUGUUCUUCAGAGUUCUGAAUGCUAUUCCCCCCACCCCAGUAGAAAAUGUUACAAUGUCAUUGCUACAUGAAGAGAAGAUCAAGAGAAUUCAGCCAGAAGACUGUAGAAACAAAGUCAUGAAUCAUGCUGUCCUUGGAUAACCCGGUGUCACCCAGAAUCUCUGUAUCCCUUGGAAAUGUAGACUUUCUCCAACCGCCUCUCCCUCCUUGGUGGCUUCUCUGCCUGGACAGACUUGUCUUUGUAUUAGUAGUGUCACUUUACCUCCUACUACUCAGGAACAGACCAGCCAGUCCCAUGACAAAUUUCCACAAAAUGCCAUGUAUCUUGUAAAUUUAAUGAAUCACUUUGGGAAAAGGUGGGACACAGAGAGCUUAAUGUAAAAAAACCCAUUUUUUUGGUCAGAGUGCUGAAAAAAAUAGAACUUCUUUAACAGGUUCUGAGUAGAAACAUAGCUCAAUGAAGAAAUAAAAGCACCUACUGUUUGAAAGUCCUGCUGUUAAAGUCUUACUUUUCUUCAUUACACCGGGCAUAGUGGGAAGAAAUCUGCUUCUGUUUCACUCAGGGAUAUUGUUCUGGAAUCACAGCUUUUCAGACAGGCUUCCUGUGGAUUACCAUGAGGCUAGCCCUAAAUGUUUAUAAGGGACUCCCUUGCCUAUUUCUCCCCUUGUAUCCAUCUUCAUUGUGAUUUCCUCCUAGGUCAUAAUUUGGCUCAAGGUCCUGAUUAGUUUCAAGUGGGUAAAAUGACCUAUUAUCAGAUAUGAAUCGAGGGGAAACAGAAGAAGGGCCUGUUUGGUUGGCUCUGCAGUUCAGAGCAAUGGAAGACUUUCUUUCUGUGGUAUCCAGGAGUUUGGCAGUGAC